rnacentral:rRNA from 1 species
GGCGACGAUCUGUAGCGGGUCUGAGAGGAUGAUCCGCCACACUGGGACUGGGACACGGCCCAGACUCCUACGGGAGGCAGCAGUGGGGAAUAUUGGACAAUGGGGGGAACCCUGAUCCAGCCAUGCCGCGUGUGUGAAGAAGGCCUUUUGGUUGUAAAGCACUUUAAGCGAGGAGGAGGCCUACCUAGUUAAUACCUGGGAUAAGUGGACGUUACUCGCAGAAUAAGCACCGGCUAACUCUGUGCCAGCAGCCGCGGUAAUACAGAGGGUGCGAGCGUUAAUCGGAUUUACUGGGCGUAAAGCGUGCGUAGGCGGCUUUUUAAGUCGGAUGUGAAAUCCCCGAGCUUAACUUGGGAAUUGCAUUCGAUACUGGGAAGCUAGAGUAUGGGAGAGGAUGGUAGAAUUCCAGGUGUAGCGGUGAAAUGCGUAGAGAUCUGGAGGAAUACCGAUGGCGAGGGCAGCCAUCUGGCCUAAUACUGACGCUGAGGUACGAAAGCAUGGGGAGCAAACAGGAUUAGAUACCCUGGUAGUCCAUGCCGUAAACGAUGUCUACUAGCCGUUGGGGCCUUUGAGGCUUUAGUGGCGCAGCUAACGCGAUAAGUAGGCCGCCUGGGGAGUACGGUCGCAAGACUAAAACUCAAAUGAAUUGACGGGGGCCCGCACAAGCGGUGGAGCAUGUGGUUUAAUUCGAUGCAACGCGAAGAACCUUACCUGGCCUUGACAUAGUAAGAACUUUCCAGAGAUGGAUUGGUGCCUUCGGGAACUUACAUACAGGUGCUGCAUGGCUGUCGUCAGCUCGUGUCGUGAGAUGUUGGGUUAAGUCCCGCAACGAGCGCAACCCUUUUCCUUAUUUGCCAGCACUUCGGGUGGGAACUUUAAGGAUACUGCCAGUGACAAACUGGAGGAAGGCGGGGACGACGUCAAGUCAUCAUGGCCCUUACGGCCAGGGCUACACACGUGCUACAAUGGUCGGUACAAAGGGUUGCUACACAGCGAUGUGAUGCUAAUCUCAAAAAGCCGAUCGUAGUCCGGAUUGGAGUCUGCAACUCGACUCCAUGAAGUCGGAAUCGCUAGUAAUCGCGGAUCAGAAUGCCGCGGUGAAUACGUUCCCGGGCCUUGUACACACCGCCCGUCACACCAUGGGAGUUUGUUGCACCAGAAGUAGCUAGCCUAACUGCAAAGAGGGCGGUUACCACGGUGUGGCCGAUGACUGGGGUGAAGUCGUAACAAGGUAGCC